rnacentral:rRNA from 1 species
UCGAACGCUUCUUUCCUCCCGAGUGCUUGCACUCAAUUGGAAAGAGGAGUGGCGGACGGGUGAGUAACACGUGGGUAACCUACCCAUCAGAGGGGGAUAACACUUGGAAACAGGUGCUAAUACCGCAUAACAGUUUAUGCCGCAUGGCAUAAGAGUGAAAGGCGCUUUCGGGUGUCGCUGAUGGAUGGACCCGCGGUGCAUUAGCUAGUUGGUGAGGUAACGGCUCACCAAGGCCACGAUGCAUAGCCGACCUGAGAGGGUGAUCGGCCACACUGGGACUGAGACACGGCCCAGACUCCUACGGGAGGCAGCAGUAGGGAAUCUUCGGCAAUGGACGAAAGUCUGACCGAGCAACGCCGCGUGAGUGAAGAAGGUUUUCGGAUCGUAAAACUCUGUUGUUAGAGAAGAACAAGGACGUUAGUAACUGAACGUCCCCUGACGGUAUCUAACCAGAAAGCCACGGCUAACUACGUGCCA